GUGGAGGCUAUUACUGGCCUAAAGCGCCCGUAGCCGGCCCGGUGUGUCCCUCGUUAAAUCCACGGGCUUAACCCGUGGGCUGCGGGGGAUACUACCGGGCUUGGGGGUGGGAGAGGCGCCCGGUAUUCCCGGGGUAGGGGUAAAAUCCUCUAAUCCCGGGAGGACCAUCAGUGGCGAAGGCGGGGCGCCAGAACACGCCCGACGGUGAGGGGCGAAAGCUGGGGGAGCAAACGGGAUUAGAUACCCCGGUAGUCCCAGCCGUAAACGAUGCGGGCUAGCUGUCGGGGCGGCUACGGGCCGCCCCGGUGGCGAAGGGAAGCCAUUAAGCCCGCCGCCUGGGGAGUACGGCCGCAAGGCUGAAACUUAAAGGAAUUGGCGGGGGAGCACCACAAGGGGUGGACGUUGCGGCUUAAUCGGAUUCAACGCCGGAAACCUUACCGGGGCUGACGGCAGGAUGAAGGUCGGGCUGACGACCCUACCUGACGAGCCGAGAGGAGGUGCAUGGCCGUCGCCGGUGCGUGCCGUGAGGUGUCCUGUUAAGUCAGGCAACGGACGAGACCCGCGCCCCCAGUUGCCAGCGGCCGAGAGGCGCCGGGCACUCUGGGGGGACUGCCCCCGAAAGGGGGAGGAAGGAGCGGGCUACGGCAGGUCGGUAUGCCCCGAAUGCCCCGGGCCGCACGCGACGUUCAAUGGCGGGGACAGCGGGAUGCGACCCCGAAAGGGGGAGCCAAUCCCUAAACCCCGCCUCAGUAGGGAUCGAGGGUUGCAACUCGCCCUCGUGAACGCGGAAUCCCUAGUAACCGCGCGUUAACACCGCGCGGUGAAUACGUCCCCGCUCCUUGCACACACCGCCCGUCA
rnacentral:rRNA from 1 species